GAUUUUUGUGUGUUGAACCAUACUUGCAUCCCUGGGAUAAAUUCCACCUGGUCUUGGUGAAUGAUCCUUUCAAUGUGUUGUAAAAUUUGGUUUGCUUGUAUUCUGUUGAGAAUUUUUGUAUCUAUUUGACAGAGUCUCACUCUGUCGCU